UCUCUCCUUCUCUCUAUCUCCCCACAGAGGAUGAGGUGUUUGAGCUGUGCCUGGGUCUUCAGACUCUGCAGGAAAUCAAAUGCUGUGUGGACCUGAGCAGUAGAGUCCUAAAGCUCCAGGGCUCAGGGGAGGAGCUGCCUUUCCUGGAGCCGCCAUUGGUCAGCCAGUACCAUCACCAAGACAGCAAUGAGAACCUGUGACCCUGGCGGGUCACAACCUCCCAGCCGUCCCACACCCUUCUCUGAUUGGCUGGCGCUGUAAAAACAUGAUGCAGUCUGGGUCUGGACUGUCCAACCAGUGUCUCGCACUGCCAGCAACAUGGUUGAGCACCCCAAUUCUCUUCAGUUUACACCAUUGUGUUUGUUUCUGUGGAAUUAAGGCAUUACCAUGAUGUUACUGCUGUAUUGACUUAGCCUAGUUUAUGUUUACGGAUGGAGCUCAAGAUUUGGGACGAUUCUAUGUAACAAUCUUCAUAAUUAUCUACUUAAUCAAGGUGUUUUUUUAUGUCAGACAGUGCAUCAUUGUUCAAUACACUCUUGGAAAAAAAGGAAUCCAAAAGGGUUAUUUGGCUGUCCCCAUAGGAGAACCCUUUCUGGUUCCAGGUAGAACUCUUUUGUGUUCCAUGUAGAAUCCUCUUUGUAAAGAGUUCUACAUCGAUCUCAAAAGGGUUCUACCUGGAACCAAAAAGGGUUCUUCAAAAAGUCAUUUUUUCUAAGAGUCUACUGAAACAUACUGAGGAGUCAGACGAUGAUUAUCAUUUGAAAUGAACAUAUUGUGAUUUGGAAGUAUAAAAUAAUUUACGUUGAUCAUCAAUUAAAUGCCCAAACUGUUUAAAAUCAAAA